rnacentral:rRNA from 1 species
GAUGAACGCUGGCGGCGUGCCUAAUACAUGCAAGUCGAGCGGACGGACGAGAAUCUUGCUUCUCUGAUGUUAGCGGCGGAUGGGUGAGUAACACGUGGAUAACCUACCUAUAAGACUGGGAUAACUUCGGGAAACCGGAGCUAAUACCGGAUGAUAUUUUGAACCGCAGGGUUCAAAAGUGAAAGACGGUCUUGCUGUCCCUUAGAGAUGGAUCCUCGCUGCAUUAGCUAGUUGGUAAGGUAACGGCUUACCAAGGCAACGAUGCAUAGCCGACCUGAGAGGAUGAUCGGCCACACUGGAACUGAGACACGGUCCAGACUCCUACGGGAGGCAGCAGUAGGGAAUAUUCCGCAAUGGGCGAAAGCCUGACGGAGCAACGCCGCGUGAGUGAUGAAGGUCUUCGGAUCGUAAAACUCUGUUAUUAGGGAAGAACAUAUGUGUAAGUAACUGUGCACAUCUUGACGGUACCUAAUCAGAAAGCCACGGCUAACUACGUG